rnacentral:rRNA from 1 species
GACGAACGCUGGCGGCGUGCUUAACACAUGCAAGUCGAGCGGUAAGGCCCUUUCGGGGGUACACGAGCGGCGAACGGGUGAGUAACACGUGGGUGACCUGCCCUCAGCUCUGGGAUAAGCCUGGGAAACCGGGUCUAAUACUGGAUAUGACUCCAUGACGCAUGUUGUGGGGUGGAAAGCCUUGUGCGGCUGAGGAUGGGCCCGCGGCCUAUCAGCUUGUUGGUGGGGGAUGGCCUACCAAGGCGACGACGGGUAGCCGGCCUGAGAGGGCGACCGGCCACACUGGGACUGAGACACGGCCCAGACUCCUACGGGAGGCAGCAGUGGGGAAUCUUGCGCAAUGGGCGAAAGCCUGACGCAGCGACGCCGCGUGAGGGAUGACGGCCUCGG